rnacentral:rRNA from 1 species
CGCAAUACAAUACAACUUUCAGCAACGGAUCUCUUGGCUCUCGCAUCGAUGAAGAACGCAGCGAAAUGCGAUAAGUAAUGUGAAUUGCAGAAUUCAGUGAAUCAUCGAAUCUUUGAACGCACCUUGCGCCCUUUGGCUAUUCUGAAGGGCAUGCCUGUUUGAGUAUCAUGAACACCUCAACUCACAUGGUCUGCCAUGAUGAGCUUGGACUUUGGGGGUCUUGCCGGCCAAGUGUCGGCUCCUCUCAAAUGGAUCAGCUUGCCAGUGUUUGGUGGCAUCACAGGUGUGAUAAAUAUCUACGCUUGUGGUUCUCCACCACGUAACCUUCAGCGAUGGAGGUU